rnacentral:rRNA from 1 species
CUCCUUUUGACAAUAAAAGGUACCGCCUGCUCAAUGCAUAUGUAAAUGGCCGCAGUAUUCUGACUGUGCUAAGGUAGCAUAAUCAUUAGUCUUUUAAUUGGAGGCUGGUAUGAAUGGCGAGACGAGAAAAUUACUGUCUCUAAAAUAAAAAUUGAAUUUUAUUUUUAAGUGAAAAAGCUUAAAUGAAUUCGAAGGACGAUCAGACCCUCUGGAGCUUUAUUAGUUUAUUUUUAUGACCUAUUUUUAAAUAGUUUUAUGAGUAAAUAAAUUUUGUUGGGGCGACAAAGAGUUAAAAAUAACACUCUUUUAAAAAAACAAUUGUAAGUGGAAAACUGAUCCUUAGAGAGAGAUUAUAAGACUUAGUUACCCUAGGGAUAACAGCGUAAUCUUUUUGGAGAGUUCUAAUCGAUAAAAAGGUUUGCGACCUCGAUGUUGGAUUAAGAAAUUAGCAAGGUGCAGAAGUUUUGCUGGAAAGUGCUGUUCGACUUU